AUAUGUAAAUUUUUGCCUUUAUGUUUUAAGGUUAUUUAUUAGAUCAUUAGCUUUCAUUUUGAGUUGGUUUAUAAGUCCGUAUUAAUAUCAUAAAAUUGUCUAAAUAGCGUAAAAUCAACUGAAAAGAGUAUUUUUCUUUUGUUUUAUUCAGUACUGUUUUCAGAUCGAGUACUUUUUUCUUGCCAAAAUUGAUAUAAAACAAUUUUGAAUUGGUAGACUGGUUGGAAGACGGCGGUUUGUCUGUGUUCAUUGUUGAUUCGUCAAUUAUAUUUUUUUUCCCCUUCAAUUUAUACAAGCACAAAACAACUCUCCAGCGCGAUGGGUGGAUGUGCUGCAUUUGGCUGUUUGAAUCGCGGGGGGCACGGCGUUUGCUUCAAAGUUUUCCCAAAGGACCUCCGGCGGAGAGAGCUCUGGACUGCGCAGACGAACAGGAAGAACUGGACUCCGACAGAAAACUCUCGUCUGUGUGAGAUGCAUUUUGCUCCGUCCAUGUGGGAAGUAAACAGAGAGGAUGGAAAGAAGAAACUAAAAGUAAACGCUGUUCCGACGAUUUUUCCAAAUCAGCUCCUCGAAAUCUGCGCUGGAUUACCGACACCCAGGAAACUCCGGAACCUCACUGCAAAUGGUGCAGAAAAUUGGUAAAAGAAAGUUAAGAGCAGACGCUAUUCCAUCGUUCACUCCUUUGGAGUUAACUAAACAUUUGCCUCCAACAGCUCUACCAAGUAAAUUGUUUUCAAACUACACAAAAUGCAAAGCAUUUGCAAAGGGUAAUUCAAAGAUACCCAGUUCCCUCACGCCAGAAGCCAGUAGGUUGAAGGGACCCACUACUCCGAAUGCUGCCAAACAGGUUGCUGAGUGCAAAACGGUUCAAAACGACAGUGGAGCUAAAUGUGCAACAAGUAAAACUGUUGGCGAAAUUGGUUUCACUGGUAGAAAGCAAUCAACUGUCACAAACAAAACUAAAAUGCAUUUGAACAAACGUAAAAGAAAAUAGAUUUUGCACAACGUGAGCCUGCUGCCAAAGAGAUUUUUUCAUAAAAACAGGAAAUAUGCUGUCUAUAUUGUAACAAUAAUUAAGUGACAGUGUAUUUGGUACAUACAUAUUAACAGCAGCAUUUUUAAAUGAUAAAUGAUUUUUGACCUAAUUUAAGACGUUCGUAAAUCAUGAAUCCUAAGAAUUUUUAAGUACACAGAAAUCAAUUGUCUAUAUUUUAAAAAUAAAAUAAUGAAUGUUGCUUUAAUAACAAAAUGUGAUCUUUGAUCAUUUUAUUUUUAUAGCAUCACAUAAGUGUGUGUACUUUUGUUAUCAGCAUAGUGCUGAGUGAUAAAUGAAAUGAACAUGUUUGCCACCGGGAACUACCGUAAUGCACAAUCAGGGCGAUGAAAGUUUAGGUCUAAUAAAACUGUAAUAAUGUAUAUUAAUAAUUGAUUAUAGUAAAAAAUUAAAUAAAAGUAUUUACAUGGUGUCUUAACACUAGGACUACCGGCACCAGCUGACUAUCUAGAACUACCACGAGGGAUCAAUUUGACCCUUUUUAAUUUUUAUCUUUAAAAAAAAAAAUUCCUAAAUAGUUGU